AGGACGAACGCUGGCGGCGUGCUUAACACAUGCAAGUCGAACGAGGUGCUUCGGCACUUAGUGGCGAACGGGUGAGUAACACGUGAGCAACCUGCCCUUGGCUCUGGGAUAGCCUCCGGAAACGGGGAUUAAUACCGGACAUGACCUUCUCCUGCAUGGGGGAGGGUGGAAAGUUUUUCGGCCAGGGAGGGGCUCGCGGCCUAUCAGCUUGUUGGGGGGGUAACGGCCCACCAAGGCGACGACGGGUAGCC
rnacentral:rRNA from 1 species